GGUAACGCGUGGAAAACCUGCCGUAUACUGGGGGAUAACACUUAGAAAUAGGUGCUAAUACCGCAUAAGCGCACCAGCUUCGCAUGAAGCGGUGUGAAAAACUCUGGUGGUAUACGAUGGUUCCGCGUCUGAUUAGCUAGUUGGUGGGGUAAUGGCCUACCAAGGCAACGAUCAGUAGCCGGCCUGAGAGGGUGAACGGCCACAUUGGGACUGAGACACGGCCCAAACUCCUACGGGAGGCAGCAG
rnacentral:rRNA from 1 species